UCUCACCUGCAGCGUGUUCUUUUUCGUACAAGGGCCGUUGUCGAAUUAUCCAGGUGUCUCCAUCUUCUUGUCUCUUCGUCCUUUCCCUUGAAUCGGACGAUCCUCCUCUCAAAUCCGUUGAAGAAUGGUACUAUUCCAGCUCGUCUACUAUUUAUCCUUUAGGAUUUCAAAUUUCAAAUUUUGGGGAAUUCACUCAAGAUCCCUCCCGAUUCCCAGCCCUAAUUUUCCCCUAUAAAAAGCUCUCUUCUCCUCAUCUUUUAGGGGGACCGCAACUCACAUAUAGAAAAAAAUAGCUCAUAAAGGAUCCAACAUGAAAUAGAUAUAAAGAAUACAUACAAAAUACAUUGAGAGAAUAGAGAAAGAGAUUCAUCCUCUGAAACAGAGGAUAUUUUUAGAUUGGAGUUUCUUUUGCUUUUGGAAACUCAUCUUAAUCGGCUCAGAGUGGUGGAAGCGCUUCAAAGUUUCGAAUUCCAGUCUCGCUACCUUGGAAAAGGUAUGCAACCUCGUUCGUCUUACAGUUCCUCUUAAAUUUGAUUUUUGUUUGUUUGUUUAGUUGACUAUAUUGUUUUGAUAGUUCACUAGGAAUAGGGAUUUCCUCGUGUGAUUGAAACCUUGGUCGUUGGUUUGUAGAAUAUGAUCCAAGUAUGUGUGUUUGUGGAUAGUGAAUGUGGUUCGAACCGUUUUCUAGCUCAAAAGUUGUUGCUUGUUGGUUUGAUUUCUUCACUAUCCAUUCUCGUUUCUAUCAAAGUGGUGUAAAUGUGAUAAAAGCUAGACUAUUUCCCUUUUUUGUUUUGAGUUACUACUUCAAUAUAAUAGAUGUGGCUAGUCUCUAUUCUCAAGUGGCUGGAUCGUUGUUCAGGUUUAUUCGAAAUUCCGAGCUCACAUUUUAAGAUCACUUUUAUUCAUAGUUCUGCUCUUAAUUUGAUUCUUAGCUUUGCAUUUCGAAUGUUUCAGCUUUUCUUGUUCAUUAUUUGCUUCUGAGUUGAUUGGUUUGUACUAAUUCAAAGUCAUCAGUUCAUUUCUAUCAUGCCUUAGCUUCUUUUUGUGCUUCGUAUUGUUUCGAUUUGAAUAGUAUUCCGCUAUUUGUUCACUCUUGGAACAUGGAAGAUGUUUGAAUUAAUUUGGUUUAUAGUGCUAAUCACUUGUAAUACUUAUCAUGCAGUGCAUCGAGUGAAUAGCCAUUUUCUUUAUAUCAUUUAGGAUUUAUUUUAUGUUGAAUUUGUUGGAAAACAGUAACUUAAAGUAGCCAUCUUUUAUCAUUAGCAUGACUUGGGUUAUUAGUAUUUUUUUAGGAUUUGUACUCACUUUAUAGGUUUUCAUUGUUUAGUCCAAUCGAGUUAUUUGCCAUAUAUUAAUUUAGGUGUUGUUAUGAUUUACUUUUGAUAUAUUAUUGUUGUAUUAUUUUUCGGACACUAAUCCUUACUAUCAUUUUUGUUACAUGUGAUGCCAACUCGAGUUCAUCUUGGACUCCAUACUUCUUUCCCUUGCAUUUUUCGAGUCGAGCCGUAUAGGCUCCAUUUUCGUCGUUUGAAUCAGCAGUCCAUUGGAAUCAAUAAAUGAACAUGUUAAAGGCAGUACAAAGCUGGAAAUUGAAUUUUCAAGUCUCAAAAGCCCAAGAAAGGGGCACAAAAGCCUCAGAAAUUUCUAGCAGAUUUUGGGCGAAAAUGGGCCAAACCCAUUAUUUUGGACCUAAUAUUUAGACUUAGGCUAGGAAAAUAACUUGGGGCCCAUCAAAUUUGAGAAUUUGGGCAAGAUUGGCCCAAGUCCAAUAUUCUUUCCUUCACUCUUUAUUUAUUUGUUAUUAUGUUGACUAACAUUAUAUUCGACUUUGGUUUUGACUUAAUUAAUUCCUCAAGGAUAGCCAUCUCUUUUUCAUAUUCAAAUAUAUAUAUAUAUAUAUAU